AGCUUUGCGCAGUGGCAGUAUCGUAGCCUAUGAGGUCUAUCCGAGGCGCGAUUAUUGCUAGUUGAAAACUUUACCCAAUACCCCGCCUGGAUGACUUGAAAAAUAGUCGGAUAUGGCAAUUUUUGACAGUCUCUGAGGAGA
ensembl:snRNA U4 U4 spliceosomal RNA